rnacentral:rRNA from 1 species
AGUGAACGCUGGCGGUAGGCCUAACACAUGCAAGUCGAACGGCAGCACAGUAAGAGCUUGCUCUUACGGGUGGCGAGUGGCGGACGGGUGAGGAAUACAUCGGAAUCUACUUUUUCGUGGGGGAUAACGUAGGGAAACUUACGCUAAUACCGCAUACGACCUACGGGGGAAAGCAGGGGAUCUUCGGACCUUGCGCGAUUGAAUGAGCCGAUGUCGGAUUAGCUAGUUGGCGGGGUAAAGGCCCACCAAGGCGACGAUCCGUAGCUGGUCUGAGAGGAUGAUCAGCCACACUGGAACUGAGACACGGUCCAGACUCCUACGGGAGGCAGCAGUGUGGAAUAUUGGACAAUGGGCGCAAGCCUGAUCCAGCCAUACCGCGUGGGUGAAGAAGGCCUUCGGGUUGUAAAGCCCUUUUGUUGGGAAAGAAAAGCAGCAGGUUAAUACCCCGCUGUUCUGACGGUACCCAAAGAAUAAGCACCGGCUAACUUCGUG